CAGUAGCCGCGGUAACACGAAGGGUGCAAGCGUUAAUCGGAAUUACUGGGCGUAAAGCGUGCGUAGGCGGUUUGUUAAGUCUGCUGUGAAAUCCCCGGGCUCAACCUGGGAAUGGCAGUGGAUACUGGCAAGCUAGAGUGUGUCAGAGGAUGGUGGAAUUCCCGGUGUAGCGGUGAAAUGCGUAGAGAUCGGGAGGAACAUCAGUGGCGAAGGCGGCCAUCUGGGACAACACUGACGCUGAGGCACGAAAGCGUGGGGAGCAAACAGGAUUAGAUACCCCAGUAGUCCCUGUCUCUUAUAC
rnacentral:rRNA from 1 species